AUGAACGCUAGCUACAGGCUUAACACAUGCAAGUCGAGGGGCAGCAUUUUAGUUUGCUUGCAAACUGAAGAUGGCGACCGGCGCACGGGUGAGUAACACGUAUCCAACCUGCCGAUAACUCCGGAAUAGCCUUUCGAAAGAAAGAUUAAUACCGGAUAGUAUACGAAUAUCGCAUGAUAUUUUUAUUAAAGAAUUUCGGUUAUCGAUGGGGAUGCGUUCCAUUAGUUUGUUGGCGGGGUAACGGCCCACCAAGACUACGAUGGAUAGGGGUUCUGAGAGGAAGGUCCCCCACAUUGGAACUGAGACACGGUCCAAACUCCUACGGGAGGCAGCAGUGAGGAAUAUUGGUCAAUGGGCGAGAGCCUGAACCAGCCAAGUAGCGUGAAGGAUGAAGGCUCUAUGGGUCGUAAACUUCUUUUAUAUGGGAAUAAAGUUUUCCACGUGUGGAAUUUUGUAUGUACCAUAUGAAUAAGGAUCGGCUAACUCCGUGCCAGCAGCCGCGGUAAUACGGAGGAUCCGAGCGUUAUCCGGAUUUAUUGGGUUUAAAGGGAGCGUAGGUGGAUUGUUAAGUCAGUUGUGAAAGUUUGCGGCUCAACCGUAAAAUUGCAGUUGAAACUGGGAGUCUUGAGUACAGUAGAGGUGGGCGGAAUUCGUGGUGUAGCGGUGAAAUGCUUAGAUAUCACGAAGAACUCCGAUUGCGAAGGCAGCUCACUAGACUGUCACUGACACUGAUGCUCGAAAGUGUGGGUAUCAAACAGGAUUAGAUACCCUGGUAGUCCACACAGUAAACGAUGAAUACUCGCUGUUUGCGAUAUACAGUAAGCGGCCAAGCGAAAGCAUUAAGUAUUCCACCUGGGGAGUACGCCGGCAACGGUGAAACUCAAAGGAAUUGACGGGGGCCCGCACAAGCGGAGGAACAUGUGGUUUAAUUCGAUGAUACGCGAGGAACCUUACCCGGGCUUAAAUUGCAACAGAAUAUAUUGGAAACAGUAUAGCCGUAAGGCUGUUGUGAAGGUGCUGCAUGGUUGUCGUCAGCUCGUGCCGUGAGGUGUCGGCUUAAGUGCCAUAACGAGCGCAACCCUUAUCUUUAGUUACUAACAGGUCAUGCUGAGGACUCUAGAGAGACUGCCGUCGUAAGAUGUGAGGAAGGUGGGGAUGACGUCAAAUCAGCACGGCCCUUACGUCCGGGGCUACACACGUGUUACAAUGGGGGGUACAGAAGGCGGCUACCUGGUGACAGGAUGCUAAUCCCAAAAACCUCUCUCAGUUCGGAUCGAGGUCUGCAACCCGACUUCGUGAAGCUGGAUUCGCUAGUAAUCGCGCAUCAGCCAUGGCGCGGUGAAUACGUUCCCGGGCCUUGUACACACCGCCCGUCAAGCCAUGAAAGCCGGGGGUACCUGAAGUACGUAACCGCAAGGAGCGUCCUAGGGUAAAACUGGUAAUUGGGGCU
rnacentral:rRNA from 1 species